GUUGCCGGGAGCUGCCGAACACAACAUGUACGUGCUGAUUUUAGGGUAACACUUGAGAGGCGUAGAGAGUGUGUGAUAUUGUGGAAGUGAUUCUUGAGUCUGGAAGAGGUGGAGAAGAAAGUAAAAUACCCAGAGAAACUCCAUCUUGAUUAUACCAGAAUAUAUUGCUGUAUAUUGUAUUAAGAGAAGCAAAACAGCAUUUGAGGAAGUGGGGGAGAAACAGAUGCCAGGAUCUGCAUUUUUAUAGUUAGUUUGUGAUCAUCUGGUUGUCGUGGGAUUCCAUCAUGAUUAUCUUUAGACUGGAAAGUUCUAGAAAUCACCAGAAUAUAUUUUCUCACUGAGAUAACUUCAGAUUAAAAAGAGAGAACUUCAAUGGAUUCAUGCUUCUUUAUAGUUAUGGCAAAAGAUACACUCAGCUUUUCAUUUUUUAUGUGACGUUUUGCAUAAUUCAGCAAAGUCUGCAAUGCAAAUGCUAUUGCUAAUACUGGUACUAGCAACAUACAAAUUCUUCAGUACCAUCUAUUUAUUGAAAUCAAACCCAGCAUUCUUUUAUGAACUUUUAAGAAAUCAGUGACAGAAUUAGAAUGAAUAGGGAAAAAAAACCUCAAGUUAUUAACUCAACAUCUGAAGAGUGUAAGAAUCAUUAUGUCCCAAGAGAGAAAUAUUGUUUUGAUUGCAAAGAAAAUAAAUGUCUAAAUUACCCACAGUAACAGUUGACUUUAGUAGUAUCCUACAAUAAAAUAUAUGAUUG